UACAGAGGGUGCAAGCGUUGUUCGGAAUUACUGGGCGUAAAGCGCGUGUAGGCGGCGUCGUUAGUCGGAUGUGGAAGCUCUCGGCUCAACCGAGGAAGUGCGUCCGAUACUGCGAGGCUUGAGUGUUGGAGGGGGUGGCGGAAUUCCCGGUGUAGAGGUGAAAUUCGUAGAUAUCGGGAGGAACACCUGUGGCGAAGGCGGCCACCUGGACAACCAACUGGACGCUGAGACGCGAAAGCGUGGUAGCAAACAGGAUUGAGAUACCGGGGUAGUCCAAGCACGAAUGAUACCUUCCUGCUACAUCAGAUCACCGACCUGCCCCCGUCAAAGAAGG
rnacentral:rRNA from 1 species